GAUCCCAGCCUUCUCUAUGUUUGCUGAGUCUAGCUGUGCAAGUCUUCAUUAUCUCCGGUAAUGGGUAUGGGUUCUUUCACCAACCCAUACUUGAUGGCUUUAUGGGGUUCUCUCCAAGAUUCAGGCUUUACAAGUUGCAAUCCUCAAGAGCUCUUACUCUUUAAAGUCCAAGUUUAAAUCAUGACCCAGAGGUCCUAGAACAGCACAGAGCACAUGGUGUUUUCUUUCCUACUACUUGUGUUCAGGGUUAUCACUCGUCAUGCUUAGGCACCACUGUGGCCUCACAGGAUGAAAGCUCCCUCCACUUACGUUCUCCUCUCUUGCUCGUGAAUUGUACUGUUUCUUUGCAGGUGAAUCUUAAGUAGGCCCUGAAAAGAGGAACUCAUGGUCAGAUUUCACCCUUGGCUCCCAAGUGAAUGACGCAGAACACCGUGGAAAGCCGUGUCAACACAAUCACUGUCACUAAUGAUUAUUUAUCCAGUUCCAACCCUGCUGCUCUUCUCUGCAGGCUGUGUGCUGGCGAGCGCUGCGUGGGUAACAAAUACGGGUCCCAAUGUCACGAAAACAGGACGACAGCCUUAUGCAAGUGAAUGUCUGAUAAUGAGCCGCAUCAAGUCUUCCUUCAGGAAGCCAGAGAGCAUGAUGCCUCCUCAGGGGCCUUGUGGACUCCCAACAGCUGUGGGAUGAGGAGUUGCCACUGAACACAUUGAGGUCAGUGAUCUAUUACACUGUCUGGGGUAUUG
rnacentral:lncRNA from 1 species